GACGAACGCUGGCGGCGUGCCUAAUACAUGCAAGUCGAGCGCAGGAAGCCGUCUGAACCCUUUGGGGGGACGACGGCGGAAUGAGCGGCGGACGGGUGAGUAACACGUAAAGAACCUGCCCAUAGGUCUGGGAUAACCACGAGAAAUCGGGGCUAAUACCGGAUGUGUCAUCGGACCGCAUGGUCCGCUGAUGAAAGGCGCUCCGGCGUCGCCCAUGGAUGGCUUUGCGGUGCAUUAGCUAGUUGGUGGGGUAACGGCCCACCAAGGCGACGAUGCAUAGCCGACCUGAGAGGGUGAUCGGCCACACUGGGACUGCGACACGGCCCAGACUCCUACGGGAGGCAGCAGUAGGGAAUCUUCCACAAUGGACGAAAGUCUGAUGGAGCAACGCCGCGUGAACGAUGAAGGCUUUCGGGUCGUAAAGUUCUGUUGUAAGGGAAGAACAAGUGCCGCAGGCAAUGGCGGCACCUUGACGGUACCUUGCGAGAAAGCCACGGCUAACUACGUGCCAGCCGCCGCGGUAA
rnacentral:rRNA from 1 species